rnacentral:rRNA from 1 species
UACGGGGGGAGCAAGCGUUGUUCGGAUUUACUGGGCGUAAAGGGCGCGUAGGCGGUCAGCACAAGUCAGUUGUGAAAUCUCCGGGCUUAACUCGGAAAGGUCAACUGAUACUGUGCGACUAGAGUGCGGAAGGGGCAACUGGAAUUCUCGGUGUAGCGGUGAAAUGCGUAGAUAUCGAGAGGAACACCUGCGGCGAAGGCGGGUUGCUGGGCCGACAUCGUGACGUGAUGCGCGAAAGCCAGGGGAGCGAACGGG